GAUGAAGAACGUAGCGAAAUGCGAUAAGUAGUGUGAAUUGCAGACUUUAGUGAAUCAUCGAAUCUUUGAACGCACAUUGCGCCCCUUGGUAUUCCAUUGGGCAUGCCUGUUCGAGCGUCAUUUACACCCUCAAGCCUAGCUUGGUGUUGGGCGUUGUCCGCAAAGACUCGCCUCAAAUUCAUUGGCAGCGGCAUCGUCAGCUUCUCGCGCAGCACAUUGCGCUUCAGAAGGCUUCUGGCGGGCUCGCGUCCACUAAGAUACCACCCAGUUUGACCUCGAAUCAGGUAGGGAUACCCGCUGAACUUAAGCAUAUCAAUAAGCGGAGGA
rnacentral:misc_RNA from 1 species